GGACUUCUCCCAGGGUUGCCACAAUCUCCAGCCCUCUGGCAGGUGGACCCUGGUGGACUUCUCCCAGGGUUGCCACAAUCUCCAGCCCUCUGGCAGGUGGACCCUGGUGGACUUCUCCCAGGGUUGCCACAGUCUCCAGCCCUCUGGCAGGUGGACCCUGGUGGACUUCUCCCAGGGUUGCCACAAUCUCCAGCCCUCUGGCAGGUGGACCCUGGUGGACUUCUCCCAGGGUUGCCACAAUCUCCAGCCCUCUGGCAGGUGGACCCUGGUGGACUUCUCCCAGGGUUGCCACAGUCUCCAGCCCACUGGCAGGUGGACCCUGGUGGACUUCUCCCAGGGUUGCCACAGUCUCCAGCCCUCUGGCAGGUGGACCCUGGUGGACUUCUCCCAGGGUUGCCACAAUCUCCAGCCCUCUGGCAGGUGGACCCUGGUGGACUUCUCCCAGGGUUGCCACAGUCUCCAGCCCUCUGGCAGGUGGACCCUGGUGGACUUCUCCCAGGGUUGCCACAAUCUCCAGCCCUCUGGCAGGUGGACCCUGGUGGACUUCUCCCAGGGUUGCCACAAUCUCCAGCCCUCUGGCAGGUGGACCCUGGUGGACUUCUCCCAGGGUUGCCACAGUCUCCAGCCCUCUGGCAGGUGGACCCUGGUGGACUUCUCCCAGGGUUGCCACAGUCUCCAGCCCUCUGGCAGGUGGACCCUGGUGGACUUCUCCCAGGGUUACAACAAUGUCCAGCUUAAUUCCAGGUUCCAAUCUCCAGGUUAAUUCCUCUGGAGACAGGGGCCACUUCAGGAAAGGAUGGACUUUAUGGAGUUAAGAGUCCUGCUGGGGUGACUUAUUGUUGAAGGAUUUCACAGAAUCACCUGGCUGUUGCAGGUUUUCCAGGCUGUUUAGUCCUGGGUUUUUGCUCCUAGCGCUUCGGCUGCAUCUAUGGGUGACGUCUUCAGAGGCACAUCAUGAUAAGAUGCAUAGCACGUCUUGCUGGGACAUGCCUCUGAAGAUGCCACCCAUAGAUGUGGCCGAAGUGUUAGGAGCGAAAGCAGCCAGUACAUGGCCACAAAGCCUGGAAAACUCACAACAGCCGGUUACUUCACAAAUGUCCGGCUCCAAUCUCUAGAAAUCUCCCAGUCCCUCUGAGGUGCUUCUCCUGUGGAAUGGUAAUAGGUGCACCCCACAACUUUAGCACUGAUUCCCUUUCUGUGAGUGCAUGUGGUUAAAGUCACCAUUUGUACAACUUCAGCAUGUAAGGAGGUGCUGUAAUCGAUCUGUCUCAGAAUGAGAUUCACACUGUUUCCUUGCUUUCCCCCCAAAGGAUUUCAGGGAGAUCCCUCUCUAGUUCCGUUUUCUUCCCACAGUAACCCUGCGGGGCAGCUUUAGGCUGAGAAAGAUGAAUGACUAGCUUUCAGAGAGGUUGGUGCUUGAUCAGACACUAAUCGUCCCUUUGACUCUACAUCUACACAUUGUUGGAUGUUGUGCUAAAGUGAUCCUUCAAGAAUGUGGACAGUGUUCAAGUCCAGCAUAGUACCGUAAAGACCAGUGAACUUUUCCAGGAUAUAACCUUUCCUAAGUUAAAGCUUGCUUCGUCACGUACCCUGAAAAAAAUGGGUCAUUACAGUAAUUCCCUUUCUGUAUGUAGGUGUGAAUGCUGCUCUGCUACUGCAGAUUUGAAUGCUUUUCUGCUGCUACAGACUAUCACAGCUACCCUCCUGAGGCUGUCUUUUAGAGAACAAAUUCUCUUGUCUGCUCAGUUUCAAAUGCGGCUGUCACAACUGCAGCAAUAUUGCGGGUGCAACUUGGUUCUGAUGAAUAGAAAAAAAACCAUCCUGUGUAAAAAGCUCAAUAUCCAGAAAAACCCAUUUGCAUUUGAUUGGGGUAUGUGUACUGCACAGUUUUAAGUAGAACAUAAGAACAAGCCAGCAGGAUCAGACCAGAGUCCAUCUAGUCCAGCUCUCUGCUACUCGCAGUGGCCCACCAGGUGCCUUUGGGAGCUCACAUGCAG